GACGAACGCUGGCGGCGUGCUUAACAAAUGCAAGUCGAACGAAGUGGCGAACGGGUGAGUAAUACGUGGGUAACCUGCCCUCCUUUUUGGGAUAAGCAUUGGAAAAGGGGUCUAAUACCGACUAAAGGGGGAUGGGCUCGCGGCCUAUCAGCUUGUUGGUGGGGUGAUGGCCUACCAAGGCGGUGACGGGUAGCCGGCCUGAGAGGGUGAACGGCCACAUUUGGACGGGGCUACCGCCCAGCGUCCUACGGGCGGGAGCAGUGGGGGAUAUGGCACAAUGGGCGAAAGCCUGAUGCAGCGACGCCGCGUGGGGGAUGAAGGCUUUCGGGUUGGUAACCUCUUUCUCUAUCUAACGGGUAGCUGGAGAAGAAGCGCCGGCUAACUACGUGCCAGCAGCCGCGGUAAUUC
rnacentral:rRNA from 1 species